rnacentral:rRNA from 1 species
CACAUGCAAGUCGAGGGGCAGCGGGAUUGAAGCUUGCUUCAAUUGCCGGCGACCGGCGCACGGGUGAGUAACGCGUAUCCAACCUUCCGUACACUCAGGGAUAGCCUUUCGAAAGAAAGAUUAAUACCUGAUGGUAUGAUGAGAUUGCAUGAUAGCAUCAUUAAAGAUUCAUCGGUGUACGAUGGGGAUGCGUUCCAUUAGGUAGUAGGCGGGGUAACGGCCCACCUAGCCUACGAUGGAUAGGGGUUCUGAGAGGAAGGUCCCCCACAUUGGAACUGAGACACGGUCCAAACUCCUACGGGAGGCAGCAGUGAGGAAUAUUGGUCAAUGGACGAGAGUCUGAACCAGCCAAGUAGCGUGAAGGAUGGAGGUCCUACGGAUUGUAAACUUCUUUUAUAAGGGAAUAAAACCUCCCACGUGUGGGAGCUUGUAUGUACCUUAUGAAUAAGCAUCGGCUAACUCCGUGCCAGCAGCCGCGGUAAUACGGAGGAUGCGAGCGUUAUCCGGAUUUAUUGGGUUUAAAGGGAGCGCAGACGGGUCGUUAAGUCAGCUGUGAAAGUUUGGGGCUCAACCUUAAAAUUGCAGUUGAUACUGGCGUCCUUGAGUGCGGUUGAGGUGUGCGGAAUUCGUGGUGUAGCGGUGAAAUGCUUAGAUAUCACGAAGAACUCCGAUUGCGAAGGCAGCACACUAAGCCGUAACUGACGUUCAUGCUCGAAAGUGUGGGUAUCAAACAGGAUUAGAUACCCUGGUAGUCCACACGGUAAACGAUGGAUACUCGCUGUUGGCGAUAUACUGUCAGCGGCUUAGCGAAAGCGUUAAGUAUCCCACCUGGGGAGUACGCCGGCAACGGUGAAACUCAAAGGAAUUGACGGGGGCCCGCACAAGCGGAGGAACAUGUGGUU